UAAGGAGUAGUAUAAAGGAAGUACUAAGGGUUUUGAUCCCUUGGGUAUAGGUUCAAUUCCUAUCUCUUUAAAGGAAGUGAGGGGGUUUGAACCCCUAUGAG
rnacentral:tRNA from 1 species